UCGAAAUCCCUCCCCCCCAAAUUUCCGCCCAAAAUCGAAAUAAGAAGCUCUUCCCCCGUAAUUCUCUUUCUAACUCCUUCCCUCCCUCCCUCUCUCUCUCUCUCUCUCUGCGCCGCUGGCAAUCGAUCCCCAACGACGCUGGCGAUGGUGACGCCUCCGUCGUCGAAUCCUUCGAGUGCGUCCUCAGCAACUCCCUCCGCAAGAUUCCGUCGCAAUCUCCGCCUCCCGAUGAGAUUCCGGCGUCGACCUCGUUGAUCAAGGUCAUUCGUCGGGCUCAGUCGUCGACCAAGUAGGGAAGCGAGUGUAUCAGAGGAAAGGGGUGAUCACUGACAUCAAGUCCUUCGGUACCAUCGAGCUCGGAUACGGAAUCAAGAAGCGCGAUGGCAGACAUUUCCAGAUCUGGAUCUUGAUCUUGAUUGAACCCAUUUCGUUGGUUGUUGUUUGAUUUGCGCUGGCAUGCGUUUGUGCUUAUCUUGUGUUUGUUGAAAUGCCUGACCCAAAAUCACAACUUUGAUAAAUAAUGAAUUAUUUGAGUUCACCGCACAAUCUGGUUAAAUGCCUGACCCAUUAAAACAAAGGUUGGAUCUCAUGAUAGAACUUGGUUAAAAUUGAAGUUCGAUUCAUAUUUAUGGUUCAUAAGUCCGUGUCCUAACAGUUCUUGAACUCCCGUGAUGAGGCGAUACUACGCAGGCACGCAUUAUGGUUUAGAGUAGGGAGCUGUUUGUUACGAUUGAAUUAUGCAAUAUGAAUUGACUUAGGUCCCUGUUGUUGUUUGAAUAGCGUAGAAUCUUAGUUCUUUCAUUGCAUGAGUUUUGUUAAUUCACUAUUUGAGUACACCUGUAAAUUUAAUAAACUUAAACAAAUUACAGUCUGAAUGAGAGUGAUAUUAAAUCACAUCUUUUUUGAUGAGUUACUGGCAAAUGUGCAGGAGGAAUGACAGAGGAGAAAAAAGUAGUAAGAAGGAGAGCCCUUGCAAAGUGGCUAAAGGAGAGUAUUUUGAGAUUAGGCCCAACAUUUAUCAAAAUAGGGUAACAGUUUUCUACAAGGGUGGAUAUUCUUGCACAAGAAUAUGUUGAUCAGUUGUCCGAACUUCAGGACCAAUUGCCUCCAUUUCCUUCAAAAACAGCUGUGUCAAUUAUUGAAGAAGAGCUUGGAAGCCCUGUGGAUUAUAUUUUUGAUCGGUUUGAUUAUGAGCCAAUAGUUGCCGCAAGUCUUGUUGAGGUGAUGAGAGGUCACGAAGAAUGACUGAGGUGCUGCUUUUACCCUGGCCUGGACAUGUAGAGUUUUAGUACAUGACGACAGAUUCUACUUCGUCUUCUUCGAGUUGAUCGAGCUACUAAUUUUAUUCUCUAGCUAUAUUAAGUUGUAAUGGGGACCGUUUAAGUGUUGUUUAAAAACUUGUUACUUAGCAGUAGCCGAUUUUGGUGUGAUGUAUGUCAGUGUGACUGAAGGACUUGCUACUAUAUAUGUUAUCAAUAUUGUACGAUAUUCGUCUGG